rnacentral:tRNA from 1 species
GGUGGGAUGACUGAGUGGUUAAGGUGUUGGACUAGAAAUCUACUAGGCUUUCACUGUGCAGGUUCAAACCCUCUUCACCG